rnacentral:snRNA from 1 species
UGAUGUGAGGGUGAUCUGGCUGCGACAUCUGUCACCCCUUUAAUUGCCAGGGUUGAUUUGGCUGAUCCAGGUGGCUAGGCGGGUGUGUACCCUUCCUCUCUCAACACUCCAUGUGCAUCCCUCCUGAAGCUGCGUUCUCUGUUGAAGAGGAUGACAAUUCCCAGUAGAGUUGGACCAUCAGGGAUGUACAAGUAGCUUUGCUCCCCUGUCACAACCUCCAAACAAGCUCUCAAAAUUAUGCUAAGCCACUGGGAAAGAUAUUAGUACAAGCUCUUCAAAUAGGCCCCAUCUAGUUCUCAUU